CGCGAAAGUCUAUUAAUCUUUUUGCGCAUUUAAGUCAUUUCAAAACAUGACGUCAUACAAAUGAAACCGCUAAAGUUGAAAGUUUUCUGUUGCGUGAACCAUCGGAAUUCGAAUGAUAUUGUAUUAAAAUUGAUUUUUGAGGUAGGUUUUGUUUUAUUUUCUAUUCUAUUGCAUUAUUCGCAUAUUUAUUCGUUUGAGCAAGUCAACAUGGCGGCUCCUUAGUUACAAAACGUCAACUUUGGAUUUAAUGGAAGCUUACGAGAAAAACAUGUAAAUUAAAAAUGGGAAAUGUUGGGUUUGAGAAUUUAAAGAAUUAAAAAGUUUUUUUUCUAGCAGUUAUUCACGAAACUAACUUACGCAAGCUACAUAUUUAUAAAGAUAUUUGAGCUUUAUCUAGCAGGGAGUAAAAAAGAACAGCCACACACACAGCAUACCCACCCUCGCUUCAGUUUUUUAAUGACCG
rnacentral:lncRNA from 1 species